rnacentral:rRNA from 1 species
AACGAACGCUGGCGGCAGGCCUAACACAUGCAAGUCGAACGCAUCCUUCGGGGUGAGUGGCGCACGGGUGAGUAACACGUGGGAAUGUACCCUUUGGUUCGGAAUAACGUUUGGAAACGAACGCUAAUACCGGAUGAGCCCUGCGGGGGAAAGAUUUAUCGCCAAAGGAGCAGCCCGCGUCUGAUUAGCUAGUUGGUGGGGUAAAGGCCUACCAAGGCGACGAUCAGUAGCUGGUCUGAGAGGAUGAUCAGCCACACUGGGACUGAGACACGGCCCAGACUCCUACGGGAGGCAGCAGUGGGGAAUAUUGGACAAUGGGCGCAAGCCUGAUCCAGCCAUGCCGCGUGAGUGAUGAAGGCCUUCGGGUUGUAAAGCUCUUUCGCACACGACGAUGAUGACGGUAGUGUGAGAAGAAGCCCCGGCUAACUUCGUGCCAGCCGCCGCGGUAAUAC